rnacentral:rRNA from 1 species
AGCUCCAAUAGCGUAUAUUAAAGUUGUUGCGGUUAAAACGUUCGUAGUUGAACUUGUGCUCCAUACGGGUAGUACACCCAUCAAUUGGGUUUGUACAUUACUCUAUGGUAUGUGAGCGUAUUACCGGUGGAGUUCUUAUAUGUUAUGGUACUUGUAUUAUAGCGUAUUCCUCCUAUUCAAACCUACUUCAGUGCUCUUCAUCGAGUGUUGUUGUGGGCCGGUACAAUUACUUUGAACAAAUUAGAGUGCUUAAAGCAGGCUUCAAAUGCCUGAAUAUUUGUGCAUGGAAUAAUGGAAUAAGACCUCUGUUCUACUUUCAUUGGUUUAUAGAUCAAGAGGUAAUGAUUAAUAGAAGCAGUUUGGGGGCAUUAGUAUUACGACGCGAGAGGUGAAAUUCUUGGACCGUCGUAAGACUAACUUAAGCGAAAGCAUUUGCCAAAGAUGUUUUCA